rnacentral:rRNA from 1 species
AGUGAACGCUGGCGGUAGGCCUAACACAUGCAAGUCGAACGGCAGCACAGUGAGAGCUUGCUCUUACGGGUGGCGAGUGGCGGACGGGUGAGGAAUACAUCGGAAUCUACUUUUUCGUGGGGGAUAACGUAGGGAAACUUACGCUAAUACCGCAUACGACCUACGGGUGAAAGCAGGGGAUCUUCGGACCUUGCGCGAUUGAAUGAGCCGAUGUCGGAUUAGCUAGUUGGCGGGGUAAAGGCCCACCAAGGCGACGAUCCGUAGCUGGUCUGAGAGGAUGAUCAGCCACACUGGAACUGAGACACGGUCCAGACUCCUACGGGAGGCAGCAGUGGGGAAUAUUGGACAAUGGGCGCAAGCCUGAUCCAGCCAUACCGCGUAGGUGAAGAAGGCCUUCGGGUUGUAAAGCCCUUUUGUUGGGAAAGAAAAGCAGCAGGUUAAUACCCCGCUGUUCUGACGGUACCCAAAGAAUAAGCACCGGCUAACUUCGUG